CCUACGGGGGGCAGCAGUGAGGAAUAUUGGUCAAUGGGCGGAAGCCUGAACCAGCCAAGUCGCGUGAGGGAUGAAGGUUCUAUGGAUCGUAAACCUCUUUUAUAAGGGAAUAAAGUGUGGGACGUGUCCUGUUUUGUAUGUACCUUAUGAAUAAGGAUCGGCUAACUCCGUGCCAGCAGCCGCGGUAAUACGGAGGAUCCGAGCGUGAUCCGGAUUUAUUGGGUUUAAGGGGUGCGCAGGCGGCCUUUUAAGUCAGCGGUGAAAGUCUGUGGCUCAACCAUAGAAUUGCCGUUGAAACUGGGAGGCUUGAGUAUGUUAGAGGCAGGUGGAAUGCGUGGUGUAGCGGUGAAAUGCUUAGAUAUCACGCAGAACCCCGAUUGCGAAGGCAGCCUGCCAAGCCAUGACUGACGCUGAUGCACGAAAGCGUGGGGAUCAAACAGGAUUAGAUACCCGAGUAGUC
rnacentral:rRNA from 1 species